rnacentral:rRNA from 1 species
UACGAAGGUGGCAAGCGUUGUUCGGAUUUACUGGGCGUACAGGGAGCGUAGGCGGUUGGGUAAGCCCUUCGUGAAAUCUCCGGGCCUAACCCGGAAAGUGCGGAGGGGACUGCUCGGCUAGAGGAUGGGAGAGGAGCGCGGAAUUCCUGGUGUAGCGGUGAAAUGCGUAGAUAUCAGGAGGAACACCGGUGGUGUAGACGGCUCUCUGGACCAUAACUGACGCUGAGACACGAAAGCGUGGGUAGCAAACAGG